rnacentral:rRNA from 1 species
AACGAACGCUGGCGGCAUGCCUAACACAUGCCAGUCGAACGAGACCUUCGGGUCUAGUGGCGCACGGGUGCGUAACGCGUGGGAACCUGCCCUUAGGUUCGGAAUAACUCCCCGAAAGGGGUGCUAAUACCGGAUAAUGUCUUCGGACCAAAGAUGUAUCGCCUUUGGAUGGGCCCGCGUUGGAUUAGCUAGUUGGUAGGGUAAAAGCCUACCAAGGCGACGAUCCAUAGCUGGGCUGGGAGGAUGAUCAGCCACACUGGGACUGAGACACGGCCCAGACUCCUACGGGAGGCAGCAGUGGGGAAUAUUGGACAAUGGGCGAAAGCCUGAUCCAGCAAUGCCGCGUGAGUGAUGAAGGCCGUAGGGUUGUAAAGCUCUUUUACCCGGGAUGAUAAUGACAGUACCGGGAGAAUAAGCUCCGGCUAACUCCGUG